rnacentral:misc_RNA from 1 species
GAAUAUUACCAGAGCUUUAGAUGUUCUACCAAAGGUGAUGUAUACAGUUAUGGUGUAGUUUUGCUGGAGUUGCUAACAGGAAAGAGGCCAACAGAUUCAGCUGAUUUUGGUGACAACAAUCUUGUUGGGUGGGUAAAGCAGCAAGCAAAAUUGAAAAUAACAGAUGUUUUUGACCCAGUACUUAUGAAAGAAGAUCCAAGUCUAAAGAUUGAGCUUUUACGACACUUAGAAUUGGCUUGUGCUUGUUUGGAUGAUCGGCCACGGAGACGACCUACUAUGAUUCAAGUCAUGGCAAUGUUUAAAGAAAUUCAAGC